rnacentral:rRNA from 1 species
UACGUAGGUGGCGAGCGUUGUCCGGAUUUAUUGGGCGUAAAGCGCGCGCAGGCGGUCGCGUAAGUCUGCUGUGAAAUCUCCCUGGCUCAACCGGGAGGGGGCGGCGGAGACUGCGGGACUGGAGGGACCUAGAGGCCGGUGGAAUUCCCGGUGUAGUGGUGAAAUGCGUAGAUAUCAGGAGGAACACCGGUGGCGAAGGCGGAUCUCUGGGCCAUUACUGACGCUGAGGAGCGAAAGCGUGGGGAGCGAACAGG